rnacentral:lncRNA from 1 species
ACACGUUAGCAUUUCCCUAUCUACUCACACUAACGUGCGCGAUCCCACGUUAUCCUUCAGCCUCUACUUUACUCUUGUCACGCUCCCUCGCAUCCUCCCUCGUAUAGCCCCCCUCCGCCUCUUCUCUUGCAGACUGAUUUAAGCAUUUAAUAUUCUCCAGACAAAAACUACUCAAAAAAGAUUAAAGCUCCUAUUAUCUGAUGAUUCUUAUACUACACAUAAGAAUCUUUGCUCAAUUAAAGGACUAGUUAUAUUAUAAAGAAAAUCAAGAUUAGGGAGAAGGGUAUGCUUAUUUGAUCCUUAGAAAUUUGAUCUCUUUGUGAAGUGCGUAGUUUUGAAAGAAACUUGAAUUGGGUCUUUGGGUUUUUGGAUUUUGUUGGUGAAACCAUCUUCAAAUCAAGUAGGAGUUACAUGGCUGGGAGUAAUGAAAUUAAUCUUAAUGACUCCAAGGUAUGUACUCUCAUAUUUGUUUUCAUACUCACAUGUAUAUUCAUGAUUUUGUUACAACUUCUUAGAUGUGUUGAUUGUUUAGUUUUUUGUAAUUUUUAGAUUUGCUAAAUGGGUGUUGGCCUUUUGGGUUUGUGAUUUUGUUCUUUGGAAGUUUGAACUUUGUUGGGCUGAGUUUAGGGUUUUGGUUGAGGCUGAAGAUCAAGCCAUAAACCGUUAAUGGGUCAGUUUUCAUUGUUUGUAGUUUUGGGAAUUAGUUUGUAAAUAUAUUUUCUUAGGAAAGUUAUAUUCCUGCUAAUUUUUAUUUGAGUUUGGAGUUUUUUGCUAUUUCCUAAUUAUUUGUGGGGCUUGUAGGAUUUUUCUAAGUUUCUAACUCCCCCCCNN